rnacentral:tRNA from 1 species
UACACUAAGCCGGAUUUACGGAUAACAUUGAUGUCGUUAAAUAUGAGUUUUUCUAGUGUAU